UUAAAGAAUCAUAUCUCUCUGAUACCAAUUGUUAGCGGAAACCUAAAAAAAGAACACAAGAUUUAACGUGGUUCAGAUCAAAUAAUCCUACGUCCACCAGAGAACAAUUUCCUUUCUAUUAUUUACAAAGGAAGGGAGAAACGUAAAAGAAAGAACACAAGAUUUAAUGUGGUUUGGAUCAAAAUAAUCUUACGUCCACCAGAGAACAAUUGCCCUUUUAGUAUUAACAAAGGAAGGGGAGAUUUCCCAAUUACACUUAAGAGAAUUUCUCUCUUAACUCUCUACUCACUACAAUGUAUUGUAUUAUUUUGGGAUGAUUUCGACAAGUGAAGGAGUGCAUCUAUUUAUAGAGGUAAAGACCUCCUCUUGAUGUCAUUGGUGACAUCAAACUACCUUCUAUUGAUGUCACGUGUGACAUCAAAGGAGGAAGCUUCCUCCUAGCAUCCACACCAACUCUUUCUACCAACUCUUCCAAUUGGCAUGCAAUUGUUGACUAAACAUAAACCAACAUUUUCAUUUAUUAAGUGAAAUAUCAAUUGUUUAGCAUUACCUCCUCAUGAUUACGCUUAUUUGCAAGGAAAAGUAUGCUUUUAGAGCCUUGAUGAUAAGGCUGAAGCGCCCGCUAAGCGAGGCAAAGUGCUCAAUAUGUUUUGAGAUUCGCUUCAGGGCUUAAGCGUGCCUUUGAUAAUACUGCCUAAGUGUGUUCUUUAAUGCUCUUGUUCAAGCAGUUCUCUAGUAUUUUUACCUUGGCUCCACCCCACUCCCACCCCCAUUAUAAAUAUUUGGCAGUUCUCUAGUAUUUUUACCUUGGAAAUGCUAAUAAGUCGUCGCCGUGUUUCCUUAGAUUGGGAAGCAAAUUAAAACUGUCAUGGAAGCUUUCUAGCAUUACAAAGUCAGAAAAAGGAGGAUAUCGCUUGACAUACGAGACACCAGAAGGAGUCGU
rnacentral:lncRNA from 1 species